rnacentral:ncRNA from 1 species
AUGUUAUUUAAUUCGAUGAUCCUCGAAAAACCUUACCACAAUUUGAAUGAUAUUUAUUUUUUUUUUUUUAUUUAAGAUAAAUAUUACAAGUGUUGCACGGCUGUUUUAAGUUAAUGUCGUGAGACUUUGGUUAGAUCCAUUAAAUUAACGUAAACCCUUGCUUUAUUUUACAUAUAUAGAGCAUUUGACCAAUUUAUUGGAUAUGAUAAAAGGGAUUAAGACAAGUCAUCAUGACCUUAAUAUUGUGGGCUAUAGACGUGCCACAUAUGUUUGUACAAAAGGAGGCGAAAGUGCGAACUUUAGCUAAUCCUUAAAACAGAAUAUAAUAUGGAUUGUAGUCUGUAACUCGACUGCAUAAAUAAGGAAUUACUAGUAAUCGUGAAUCACCACAUCACGGUGAAUUUAAUCUCAGAUAGGUACUAACCACUCGUCAGGCGCUGAAAGGAGUAUGCGCAAUAAGUUUGGCCAUUUAAUAAUUCUUCCUAUUAAUAAUUAGUUAAUAUUUAGAGCUUUAAUAAAGUUCUAUAAGAUACUUUAUUGGAUGGUUUUCGUAUGCGUGACUUUGAUUGGUGUUAAGUCGAAAUACGGUUCGUGUAGUGGAAAUUGCACGGGUUUAAUAAAAAUU